CUCGACUCUCGUCUCUCUCUUCGCAAAAACGAGGCGCGGCGGCGGUUCUGCCCUUCUUCUCCGAUCAAACGGCGGUGACGGAUAGCUCCGACUCUUUCAAUCUUCUUCUCCGAGCUCGAAUUUAUGUUCCAAUCUCUUUCGUCCCAAUCGCGAACUCAGUUCUCUCCUCUCCAACUUGGAAUAGUGACGGCGGCCACUCGAAUCUUCCAACGAAGUUGCGGUGGUGAUGUCGCGGGAGGGUGCGGUUUUGUGACGCCGAAUCUUGAAGCGGAUUGAUGAAGAGUUGAAGGUUGCUGAUAUGGCGAUGGAGAUUGAUGAUUGAUGCUGCGUUGUUGCGUUCUUGAGUAUGGAUGAAGGUUGUCCUCGAUGAAGAUAGAGGAAGAUUGAAGGUUAGGUGAAGAAGAAUCGAGGUUUGAGGUAUGAAGAGUGAGAGAGAUUUGGUGAAUGUUGCAGAGGUGGUGAAGAAGGAAGAGGGGCUGAGAGAUGAAGCAAGGUUGAAGAUGAUGAAAUGAUGGAGAUUGAAGGGUGAAGGUGGAAAAUGGUCGAGUUGGUGAAUGAUGGGAGAUGGCGUCUGAAUGGUUCUGAUUGGGAGAUGGCGUCUGAAUGGAGAGAGCCAAAAUGGUGGAGAUGCUGAUGAUAUAUAGAGGCUGAGGAAAGGUUUCAGUUGAGGUUUUGAAUGGUGAACUUUGUUGGCAAAAGCAAUAGCAUGACAACACUCUUGAAAGCAUGACGAGGUCGAGUGUAUGAGAAAAAGUCUAGCAGCAACCUUUCCGUACAGUGCAGUAGCUAGUAUAAUGUACAUAAGAUUGGAAUCUGUAAUAGAUAAUGAACUUGAACAUGUACUGUCAGUAGCCUAGUAUGCAAUUUGUAUUUGAUUGUGAGUCUAUACACGAAGGAUGAACGGAUUGAUAAUUGAGGUGAUGAAUAGAGGUUGAUUUC